rnacentral:lncRNA from 1 species
UCCAAAACUCUUUUUGCCCGUUUUCACUCUCUGUUUCGUGUGCGUGUAUUUUGGUUGUGGUGUUGGUGGUCGUGAGUGGGUGUUUUUCGAGGGGUUCAGGCAAUGAGGUCCGGUGGCUCGUUUGUAUUGUGUAUUGGUCGCUUGGGAUCCUGGAAUUUACAGAACGGGGAUGCGGGGGAGGGGGGAGGGGUGUUGGAGAAGAUGAAGUUCAAAGG